GCUUAACACAUGCAAGUCGAGCGGUAAGGCCCUUCGGGGUACACGAGCGGCGAACGGGUGAGUAACACGUGGGUGAUCUGCCUCGUACUCUGGGAUAAGCCUGGGAAACUGGGUCUAAUACCGGAUAUGACCACGAAUCGCAUGGUUUGUGGUGGAAAGAUUUAUCGGUGCGAGAUGGGCCCGCGGCCUAUCAGCUUGUUGGUGGGGUAAUGGCCUACCAAGGCGACGACGGGUAGCCGACCUGAGAGGGUGACCGGCCACACUGGGACUGAGACACGGCCCAGACUCCUACGGGAGGCAGCAGUGGGGAAUAUUGCACAAUGGGCGAAAGCCUGAUGCAGCGACGCCGCGUGAGGGAUGACGGCCUUCGGGUUGUAAACCUCUUUCGACAGGGACGAAGCGCAAGUGACGGUACCUGUAGAAGAAGCACCGGCCAACUACGUGCCAGCAGCCGCGGUAAUACGUAGGGUGCGAGCGUUGUCCGGAAUUACUGGGCGUAAAGAGCUUGUAGGCGGUUCGUCGCGUCGAUUGUGAAAACUUGCAGCUCAACUGCAAGCUUGCAGUCGAUACGGGCGGACUAGAGUACUUCAGGGGAGACUGGAAUUC
rnacentral:rRNA from 1 species